rnacentral:rRNA from 1 species
AUUGAACGCUGGCGGCAGGCCUAACACAUGCAAGUCGAACGAGUGGCGGACGGGUGAGUAAUGUCUGGGAAACUGCCUGAUGGAGGGGGAUAACUACUGGAAACGGUAGCUAAUACCGCAUACCAUCGGAUGUGCCCAGAUGGGAUUAGCUAGUAGGUUGGGUAAAGGAUCACCUAGGCGACGAUCCCUAGCUGGGCUGAGAGGAUGACAAGCAACACGGGAAAUGAGACACGGUCCAGACUCAUACGGGAGGCAGCAGUGGGGAAUGUUGCACAAUGGGCGGAAGGCUGAUGCAGCCAUGCCGCGUGUAUGAAGAAGGCCUUCGGGUUGUAAAGGACUUUCAGUGGGGAGGCGUUACCCGCAGAAGAAGCACCGGCUAACUCCGUGCCAGCAGCCGCGGUAAUUC